rnacentral:lncRNA from 1 species
AUGCACAGCCCCCUCCCCUUGCAUGUCCCCCCCCCCCCCCGUGCAUGCACUUGCACCCUGUGUGCACCCCCCCCCCCCCCCCCCCCCACCGUGUGCACACUCAGACGUGUGAGGCCGCACACACACACACACGGGCGCCCGCCUGCCGGUGACACCCGUCUCCCCCCCCAGCAGGCACCACACCAAAGCGGCGACGCUGGUGCUGCUGCAUUGCCUCAUACUGGGAGGACUGGGACGAGCGCGGCCGCGCCAGCGUGGGCCUGGCCCUGCAGGGCGGGGAGCGGGGACGCGGGACGGGGCGGGGGGCGGCGAGGAGGCGUCGGGCAGGACGGGGCGCGGGGCUGCGACGAGCACCUGGACACCGGCUCCCACCCGGCCUCGCCCCCCCCCCCCCCCCCCCCCCCGGGACCACCCCCACACCCCCCGUUAUCACCAGCAUCUGCCGGCCCCGGGCGCGGUGAUGUCACCCGGCGGCGGCAGCGCGAUGCGGCGCCCGUGUCCCAGCUUGCCUCCUGCCGCGCUGCAGACACCUCCCGUGGGUGCCGGCGGUGCAGCGAGGCUGGAGGCUGCCUGAGCCGGGCUGUGCCACGCCGUGCUGCACUGUGCCACGCCGUGCUGUGCCAUGCCACAUUGUGCUGUGCCAUACAGUGCCAUGCCAUGCCGUGCCGUGCCGUGCUGUGCCACCCUGUGCUGUGCCACCCUGUGCUGUGCCAUGCCUUGCUGCGUUGUGCCAUGCCGUGUUGUGCCAUGCUGUGCUGUGCCACACUGUGCUGUGCCAUGCCAUGCUGUGCCAUGCAAUUCUGUGCCAUACUGUGUUGUGCCAUGCCAUGCUGUGCCACACCACACUGUGCCAUGCUGCACUGUGCCAUGCCGUGCUGUGCCAUAGUGCACUGUGUCAUAGUGCACUGUGCCAUAUCGUGCUGUGCCAGACCGCCCUGUGCCACGCCACACCGUGCCGCACCGCACUGUGCCUCUGCUGUGCUUCGGGGCCAGGCCUGUCCCACACCCACCCCGCACCCCGUGCCACCAGCCCAGCAGCACCCUCAGCUCCCCCAGGCCCCCCAAACUCAGUGA